rnacentral:rRNA from 1 species
UACGGAGGGAACUAGCGUUGUUCGGAAUUACUGGGCGUAAAGCGCGCGUAGGCGGUACGAUAAGUCAGGGGUGAAAUCCCGGGGCUCAACCCCGGAACUGCCCUUGAAACUAUCGAACUAGAAUGUCGGAGAGGUAAGUGGAAUUCCGAGUGUAGAGGUGAAAUUCGUAGAUAUUCGGAAGAACACCAGUGGCGAAGGCGACUUACUGGACGAUGAUUGACGCUGAGGUGCGAAAGCGUGGGGAGCAAACAGG